rnacentral:tRNA from 1 species
GCGCCAGUGGUCUAGUGAUUUGUGAAGCAUAGUUUUUUGCUCACAACUGGAAGCUAUGAUAGGGCCUUGCCAAGGCUCUGACCCGAGUUCGAAUCUCGGCUGGCGCA